rnacentral:rRNA from 1 species
UACGUAGGGGGCAAGCGUUGUCCGGAAUCAUUGGGCGUAAAGAGCGCGUAGGCGGCCCUGUAAGUCCGCUGUGAAAGUCGGGGGCUCAACCCUCGGAUGCCGGUGGAUACUGUCGGGCUUGAGUACGGAAGAGGCGAGUGGAAUUCCUGGUGUAGCGGUGAAAUGCGCAGAUAUCAGGAGGAACACCAAUGGCGAAGGCAGCUCGCUGGGACGGUACUGACGCUGAGACGCGAAAGCGUGGGGAGCAAACAGG